rnacentral:rRNA from 1 species
AGCGCAGGCGGGAAGACAAGUUGGAAGUGAAAUCUAUGGGCUCAACCCAUAAACUGCUUUCAAAACUGUUUUUCUUGAGUAGUGCAGAGGUAGGCGGAAUUCCCGGUGUAGCGGUGGAAUGCGUAGAUAUCGGGAGGAACACCAGUGGCGAAGGCGGCCUACUGGGCACCAACUGACGCUAAGGCUCGAAAGUGUGGGUAGCAAACA